CGACCGCAUAGAGCAGAAAGGUCAGGCUCGACCGCAUCUGCCGGACGGAGGCGGCGGUUCCGCCCACGCCGCGCUCGA
rnacentral:tRNA from 1 species